GUGCCAGCAGCCGCGGUAAUACGGGGGGAGCAAGCGUUGUCCGGAAUCACUGGGUGUAAAGGGUGUGUAGGCGGGGCUGUAAGCCAGAUGUGAAAUCCCACGGCUUAACCGUGGAAUUGCAUUUGAAACUGCCAGUCUUGAGUGCGAGAGAGGGUAGUGGAAUUCCCGGUGUAGCGGUGAAAUGCGUAGUUAUAGGGAAGAACACCAGUAGCGAAGGCGGCUACCUGGCUCGUAACUGACGCUAAGGCGCGAAAGCGUGGGGAGCAAACAGGAUUAGAUACCCUGGUAGUCCACGCCGUAAACGAUGGGCACUAGGUGUUGGGGGCGACUUGUCGCCCUCAGUGCCGCAGCCAACGCAUUAAGUGCCCCGCCUGGGGAGUACGCUCGCAAGGGUGAAACUUAAAUGAAUUGACGGGG
rnacentral:rRNA from 1 species